UACGGGGGGGGCAAGCGUUGUUCGGAAUUACUGGGCGUAAAGGGCUCGUAGGCGGCCAACUAAGUCAGACGUGAAAUCCCUCGGCUUAACCGGGGAACUGCGUCUGAUACUGGAUGGCUUGAAUCCGGGAGAGGGAUGCGGAAUUCCAGGUGUAGCGGUGAAAUGCGUAGAUAUCAGGAGGAACACCCGUGGCGAAAGCGGCUCUCUGGGACGGUACUGACGCUGAGACGCGAAAGCGUGGGGAGCAAACAGG
rnacentral:rRNA from 1 species